rnacentral:rRNA from 1 species
AGCAGCCGCGGUAAUUCCAGCUCCAAUAGCGUAUAUUAAAGUUGUUGCAGUUAAAAAGCUCGUAGUUGAAUUUCGGGAUCAAUAUAACGGUCAUGCCGUUGGUAUGCACUGUUAUAAUUGGUUUCUCACCUUCUAAAGAACCGUAAUGCCAUUAAUUUGGUGUCACGGGGAAUUAGGACUGUUACUUUGAAAAAAUUAGAGUGUUUAAAGCAGGCUCACGCUUGAAUACAUUGGCAUGGAAUAAUGAAAUAGGACAUCCGAUUCUAUUUUGUUGGUUUCUAGGAUCGAUGUAAUGAUUAAUAGGGAUAGUUGGGGGCAUUAGUAUUCAAUUGUCAGAGGUGAAAUUCUUGGAUUUAUUGAAGACUAACUACUGCGAAAGCAUUUGCCAAGGAUGUUUUCAUUAAUCAAGAACGAAAGUUAGGGGAUCGAAGACGAUCAGAUACCGUCGUA